rnacentral:rRNA from 1 species
CCUACGGUAGGCAGCAGUGGGGGAUAUUGCACAAUGGGGGAAACCCUGAUGCAGCGACGCCGCGUGAGUGAAGAAGUAUUUCUGUAUGUAAAGCUCUAUCAGCAGGGAAGAAAAUGACAGUACCUGACCACUACGCCCCGGCUAACUACGUUCCAGCCGCCGCGGUACUCCGUAGGGGGCCAGCGUUAUCCGGAUUUACUGGGUGUAAAGGGAGCGUAGACGGUUAUGUAAGUCUGGAGUGAAAGCCCGGGGCCCAACCCCGGGACUGAUUUGGAAACUGGUUAACUGGAGUACAGGAGGGGCAGGCGGAAUUCCGGGGGUAGCGGUGAAAUGCGUAGAUAUCAGGAGGAACACCGGCGGCGAAGGCGGCCUGCUGGACUGAAACUGACGUUGAGGCUCGAAAGCGUGGGGAGCAAACAGGAUUAGAUACCCGAGUAGUC